ACCUUCGUGAUAUAGUCGUCAGUACUCUCGACCCGUAACCGAGAGGUCCGUGGUUCGAUUCCCGGCGAAGGCU
rnacentral:tRNA from 1 species